AUUGAACGCUGGCGGCAUGCCUUACACAUGCAAGUCGAACGGCAGCACGGGUGCUUGCACCUGGUGGCGAGUGGCGAACGGGUGAGUAAUACAUCGGAACGUACCUUAUCGUGGGGGCUAACGCAGCGAAAGUUGCGCUAAUACCGCAUACGCCCUGAGGGGGAAAGCGGGGGACCGUAAGGCCUCGCGCGAUUAGAGCGGCCGAUGUCUGAUUAGCUUGUUGGUGAGGUACAAGCUCACCAAGGCGAUGAUCAGUAGCUGGUCUGAGAGGACGAUCAGCCACACUGGGACUGAGACACGGCCCAGACUCCUACGGGAGGCAGCAGUGGGGAAUUUCGGACAAUGGGGGCAACCCUGAUCCAGCAAUGCCGCGUGAGUGAAGAAGGCCUUCGGGUUGUAAAGCUCUUUUGUCAGGGAAGAAACAGCAGCUCUAACACAGUCUGCGAAUGACGGUACCUGAAGAAUAAGCACCGGCUAACUACGUGCCAGCAGCCGCGGUAA
rnacentral:rRNA from 1 species